AGGGCUGAAGAAAGCUCCCUGCUUGAAGGAACAACUGUGGUCGCCCCAGGGGACUGGGACUGGGAUUUUUAGAAAACAUGCUGAAAAGCAAUGGCUUGUUUCUUUUAGCUGUUAAAGCUGGAAUCCUGAGCCUUUCCAAAGGGAAAGGUUUCCAUUAUGAGCAUUGAGUUGCUGAGGGACAGAGGUGCCACUGGAGAAGGACACUUUUAGAGAGAGAGCAGGGCUGAGAAAGGGGCAAACAUGUCAUGGGAGCUGCUCAUCCUGCAGCACUUGUUUGAGGAUAGGUGCUUGAGAAUUAAAAGCUGAGUCUAAAUGUGCUUCCAGGACCUUUGCAGUUUCUUGUCUUGUACUAUUUCUAUGUUUGUAUAAGCUUUUGAAAUGCUUUCUUAAUUUUUUUUGUUCUUCCCUGCAGUAUGAACACCCAAUGAAGAAGGCAGAAGAAAGCAAUGUGGUCGUGGUUCCUUCUGACUAGCAACCCCCUGAAUUCAUUAUUACUCUUAAAUUUUGAACACCUUGUGUAUGCAGCAUAGAGAAGAUGGUUCUGUGAAGGAUGUCAAUUUAUUUUAAAUGCAAAGAAAAAAGGGGAGGAAAAAAACAUUGACAUUGAGCCUUUUUUUUUUUUACCUAAAAAGAAUAUACACUGCUAAGUGGUCCAGUUAUGAUCCCUGUGUUGAUAACAACUUUUUCUGAAAAGUUGCAAGAUGGGUCCCUUACAUAUAAAAGAAAUUUAAAAAAUUAUCUAAAGAUAAUGAUUUGUCCACCAAACUGAUGGAUAUACUGCCUUACUUUGAGUGUUCUGCUGAUUGAUUCUAAGUAAAAUAUUGUUUGCAUAGAAUAACAAUCUCGUUUUCUUCAAAAUGAUGCACUGCGCAUGGCUGGAAAGGUACUCUAGAGUCCUGUGUUCCUUGCAUGGGAUGUGUUAGGCAUAGCCUUUCCUGUGUGCAGCAGCAGUGGGGGAACUGCUGCCUUUACACCAUUGCCACUCAAUUCUGGGCUGCAAAGUUGAAAGCUGAGAGGAAUCUACUAGCCAGAUGCCUGAUGGCAAACUGGAGACUGUGGAGGGCAAGAAAUUUGGAGCAUUGAAGAGAAAAUGGCAAGUGAGGCUGGAGAAAGUAUUUCUGCAACCAGUGACUUUUGGCUUCAAGGAGAGUUCAAAGUACAGUGACCAGUGCUAGGAUUAGACAAAAUGGCAUCAGAAGUCUCUUGAAAGCAAGCCACAGAUAAACCAUGCGAUGUAAUAUUUUCCCUAUGCUUUGACAGAGUUCCCCAAGUGAUAUUGCUCUUCACAAACUGUUGCAGACACAGCAUUAUAAUGCUAGGGCACUGUAAUGAAUUUGUAGGAACAUACCAUGUUUCCAAGCUUUGGGUUUCUAUCUACUUACCUUACAAACCAACCUCAGAUUACUGUGUGGGUUAGAGUCGAGGGAAUCUUCCCCUGCACAUAAUGUACCUUCAUAACAAAAGCCCAAACCCUGACAGGGUUUGUUUCACCACUGAAACAGCGGGGUGAUGCUGUUCCUUCUUGACAAGGUCAUGCAGGCUAGCGCCAGCACAGAAAACAAGAAGAAGCUGCUGUUGCUAUUGCUUUACCAUUUUAUGCCUAUUCCUUUAGCUUAGUACUCCUGACUGGAGUUGACAUGAGAUGAAACUUGUUUAACCACGUCAAGGGGUGGUUGGUGCUUUCCUUCUAGUAUGGUUUAAAAGAAAAGACUGCUUCAAUGCUGCCCUUUCCAAAGCUCCAGAUCCACUGGUCUUCCUUCUCCUAUUCACAAUGUUAAGGGCUGUAACCCUGAUUUCACAUUCAGUAGUUUGUGUUUGUUUCUUUGCAGCCUGGCCCUGACUAUGCUGCACCCUCCUGCUGCUUUUCAGUGUCUUUAAGGUCUUUACAGGUGCUGUUUGAAAAUCUAGGCUCUCAAAGCACUCAGUCAAAGUGAAUUUUGAGAGAUGAAGCUUUAAAUUCUGUGAACAGCUCUGCUUCUGUCUGAUAAUACUCUUUAGUUUUGCAUCCCAGUAGCAAAAUUUUCAGCAUCCUCUGUCCCACUAGUGUGAUGGUUUGCUGUGGUGGCACCAAAGCGACAUUAAUCAAAACAGGCUUUAAGAUAUUAGCCUGAAUAAUCUGAGGAUGUCUUCCUAUUGCCUGGCUGUACCCGGUCCUAAAUUUGUGGCUUUUACUACCUGAGUAGUAAUGCAAGGUCCUAGCCCUAGGGGUGUGAUAAGACUUAAACUGCCCUGUUGCUUUUUAUUGUAAUCUACAAUUCACACUGGUGAAAGUAAAGGGAUGCUUUUUGUGAUGUUACUCCCAGUACCAAGGUGAGCCUUCUACUAGUUCCCACCUAAAUGUCUACAUUCCAUGGUUUUAUUCCUCAUGACCUGGCCAAACAUGGUGAUGCAACCAGGGCUAUUAAGGUGCUUGAUGUGAAGCAGACCUAAGAAUUGAGAUGAGCUGGCCACACUGUGGCUGUUCUUAUAUGCUGAAUUCUGCAAAGCCAUUCUGUAACCUGUGACUAUAAUGCUUAGAAGGUGAGUGUUGAGCACUUCAAAAGGCAUGGAUAAAGGAAAGAUCAGGGUUCCUUACUUAUUAAAAAUGUUGUAUGCAUCUAUACUUGCUUUUAACUGUUUCAUUGGAAAAGUCUAAACCCUAAGAAGCUGCUUUUAGUGAUGGGUGUGGGAGAGCAGAAAGGGUUGUCAUAGGACUUAGAUACCUUCUACUCCUGCACUUCUCUUUCUAUCCCUUUAUAUGAAAAACUUCAGCUUUUGAGCUCAGUGAGUUCCAGCUUGGUAACCCAUAAACUGCCUGAGGUGAAAAUUUUGGACUUUACUGAUGGUCUUUCCAUCUGUAGUCGGUAGCAGUACUGUUUGGAGACAACAUCUGGGACAGGAAUGACUUUUUCUGACCUUGAACAGUCCAUCUCAUACAACUUCCUGCAUUGUUGGGUCAAUCAAGCAUGACUGAGCCUAAACCUGCUGAAGGUCUAAAGUGCAUUUGGUUUCUACAACAGACCUGUAACUGGGUUACCGUAAUGUUUCAUUUUGGGAGGUAGGUAGUUGACCUUGGCAUGUUUCCUUUUCCUUCUCACUUACACUUUUAAGAGUGUUAUUAAUCUAGAUAUUUCUUUUAUUUUCUUCCUUUCGGUGCAAACGGAUAUAGCUCAAUUUUCAACCUGUUCAGUUUCCUUAACACUUCUGAGCCAGAACAACAAAGAGGAUGUGGAUCCUGAGAUGCAAAACACGUGCAUCAGAAAAAGAAAUGAGCACUUAACAAAGUGCGCGUUAAGGACAACUGCUUUAUGCAUUUUAAGGUCUAAACAGAGUUUAAUGUUAAACUGGUUAUAACCCCUGCUAUCUUCAUGCUGUAUCUCUUUCAGGGGGUGAUGCUGUGCCAAGUGCUUGUUUACCUGCACAUUCUGUACUGGCGCAAUGGUCCCUCCAAGGUCCAGAGGGCUACAGUUACCGAAUGUCAAGGCUGUACAAAGCCAAAGAAAAUGAUGUCCUCUGUGGCUGGAAACAGACAUACCCUUUGGUGAGCCCAAACCAGCAAGGUCAAGUAUUUGCAUCUCUUCUCCUAUGUCUGUAUUCUCAAGCUGAAAGAAAUGUUAUUUUUGAGAUUGCUUUCUCCAUUGUCUCUCCUCUGUUUACUACCAUCAGAUUCCAAUUGAAAGCAAUCUGAGAAAUAAAGGAUGACUUGAUAGGCAAGUACAAGCUUUGAACAAACAAGUUAUUGCAGUAUUACCUUUGUUCAAAAACCAAGUUUUUACAGUUAGCGGGACAAAAAAACCACAGGGAAACUUUACAUGAACACCAGCGAAGGUGGUGUGUAAAGUUGUGGAUGUUGUUUCUCGGUCUGAAGUGAAUGUCCUGAGAACUUUCUGAAAAAGUUUGAGAAAACAGUCUCAAGCAGUUUGAAAAAGUAACCAGUUUCCAGCAAUUUGAUGCCUUAAAGAGGAGUGGAGACAGUCUGAUAGUAAAAUUUGUUUAUUUACAGUGUUACGUGUUACAGGAAAAUCAGUUUAAAAAGUCAAUGCUUCUCUUUCUUCAAAGUUGCGGCAUUUUGAAGAUGUUAAGACAUAUCUCAAGAAUUUUAAACAUACCUGAUUCCAGCCUUCCUGGCUGCUCUGGAUCUGCAAGGUGAGACCGCCUCAGUUAUUUUUCCUUUUUUUUUUUUUUCUUUUUCUUUUUUUUUUCCCCAGCCCUUUGAAUUUCAAGUAAGGCAUUUAUUUAUUUCCUUUUCUUUUGAAUGAGGUUUCCACAAAACAAAAGACAAUAUGUGUGGGUUUGAUUGCCGUAGUAAACUUUAACACUUAGCGUGCUGACGCUGCCCACCUUGAUAGUCAAAUGCACGCUUUGCCAUCAAAAGAUUAUGGACUCCACUCGGCCUAAAAUCUGUGCUGAGACACACAACCCUUUUCUUGCCUGCCUUAGAUGAAUGGUUCAGCUAGUUGCCUUGUGCACUGUCUUGUCAGCUCUUUCAAAGUCCUCUGCCUUUGCCCCGGUUUCCAGUAUCAAGUUGAUGUCUGCAGAGCCCUGAAGCUUCCCAUUUACUUAUGGCCAUGUAGAACACUUUCAGUGAAACCCACAAAUUUCUUACAAUGUGGGAGUUUUACAGUAUCAAUCAGAAAGGCCUAGAAAGAAAAGGUUCUGGAAGGGCUAAUGAGAAAUAGUAUAUGCAUGCAGUGUCCAGGCUUUUUUUUUUUUUUUUUUUUUUAAUUGCUGCUUUCCCUCUUUAUUGAAUGUUAAAUAAAGCAAAACACUGACUUUCAGACAGUGAUGUUUUGUAGCCAUCACAUUCAAACUGAACGCUGACCCAAGACACCCUUCUUCAUGCCAUUUUAUCCUCUUGCUUUUGCUGGACAAACCUGUCUGUUCUUCCCCCCGUACUGUGCCACUUCCUCACCCCUUUUCCUUUCUGUCCACGAGACUGCAUGGCUGCAGUUUCCCAGGCUGCUCCUGAUGAGGCUGGCUGCCCUGUGUCCAUACUCCUCCCUGGAACAAACCUUCCUCCUGUCUUUGCACCUGCGGUCUCCCAGAGCCCCUGAUGACAGAUCAUCUAGAUGAGGAUGUCUAGAGGGGAUAACUGACCCUCUAGAAGUGGAAAAGAAUUGAAAAGCACGGUUUGGGACAUCCUCUGUGGCUUUUUGGUCCCUCUGUGCUGGCUGUGUGUGUGGUUUGUCCCCCUCCUGCCCUGGGACCCUGCAAGGUGACAGGAGUGAGAGGACAAGUUUUCUUUACAGAACUGCUUCAUUCCAAGGGGCUUACUGGGCUGGGUGACUGACAGGUGGGGUUUUUUGAGAGAAUUUAUACACAUGAGAAUGGAAGUGACCACAAUUACUUCACUGUGAAAAAUUGAGAGGGGAAAAAAGUCUGUGUCUAUUUUUAGUAGAGAAAUGGAGUGGGCUAAGUGAGAAAAGGGUGAGGGCAGAUCCACAAUGUCAACCUUGAAUAUUUUGAAUUUCUAACCAUUCAAGGGGUGGGGAGGGGAAAAUGCAGCUAACUGAAGCAGCAUGGAAUGUGGCAGGCUGUUGUGAGAGAGACAACUUUACAGCUGCAGACAGUAUCUCCUUGCUUUCCCUUCAGAGGAUUAUGCCUAAGUCCCACCUGUUUCUUCAGUCAGAGACCAGUCUGAAAAAGGUCCACCUGGCACAGAAAUUCCUGUACAAUAUGCUUUGCUUGUUGCUGAAUCCACUUUUAAGAUUUCCUGCAACUUCCAGUCUAUUAAUAUGUGGCAUGUCAGUUUGCUUCAAAUCAGCAGUGUUUGUAUAGGAUUAACUUUUACACAUUUACACUCAGGAUUUAUCUUCUUUAAUUUGCUAAGCCCCUACUUCUUUCAACAUCCGUUUCCUCAGAACUCCUAAUAAUUAGUGUAUCCAAAGUGACUUUUUUUGCUCUGUAUUCAGAAUACAAUACUGGGCAGUCCCAAGGACUUCCACUGCAGCCCCCUGAAACAGCAAGCUUCUGCCAGCCUUCCUGGCAUUUGAAUCAGGUUGCACAUAUGUCAAGAAAGUUGAGUGCUGUGCACAUCUGUCUGUUAACUAUGGGAUGGUGCACCUGGGCUCUGCCCUCUCUCAUGUUCUUCCCUAGGCCUCCCACAGGAUCAAAGGGCUCCUUGCUGGUGUCCACAGGGAGGGAAUGUGCUUUGGGGAAUGGCUGAGAAGAAGAAAAGAGGGGUAUGGUGAUGGAAAAGG